CCUACGGGCGGCAGCAGUGAGGAAUAUUGGUCAAUGGGCGCUAGCCUGAACCAGCCAAGUAGCGUGAAGGAUGACUGCCCUAUGGGUUGUAAACUUCUUUUAUAUGGGAAUAAAAUGCAGUAUGUAUACUGCUUUGCAUGUACCUUAUGAAUAAGGAUAGGCUAACUCCGUGCCAGCAGCCGCGGUAAUACGGAGGAUCCGCGCGUUAUCCGGGUUUAUUGGGUUUAAAGGGAGCGUAGGCGGGUUGUUAAGUCAGUUGUGAAAGUUUGCGGCUCAACCGUAAAAUUGCAGUUGAUACUGGCAGCCUUGAGUACAGUAGAGGUAGGCGGAAUUCGUGGUGUAGCGGUGAAAUGCUUAGAUAUCACGAAGAACUCCGAUUGCGAAGGCAGCCUGCUGGACUGUAACUGACGCUGAUGCUCGAAAGUGUGGGUAUCAAACAGGAUUAGAUACCCUAGUAGUC
rnacentral:rRNA from 1 species